rnacentral:rRNA from 1 species
GACAGAGGUGCCAAGCGUUAGGCGGAAUCACUGGGCUUAAAGCGUGUGUAGGCGGAACGUUAAGUGCCUUGUGAAAUCCCACGGCUCAACCGUGGAACUGCUGGGUAUACUGGCGAUCUUGAGCCACCUAGGGGCGAGCGGAACAAGCGGUGGAGCGGUGAAAUGCGUAGAUAUCGCUUGGAACGCCAACGGUGAAAACAGCUCGCUGGGGGUGUGCUGACGCUGAGACACGAAAGCCAGGGGAGCGAACGGG